UUUUUUUUUUUUUCUUUUUAAAUUUUUUUUUCAAGUGCCUUCUAACCUUCAGCUCUGUCUGUGCUCCAGAUCCCACCUACCUGUCUGCAUUUCCCAAGUGGAAGGCAUGUGGCGUUUCCUCCUUCUAGGGUGGCACUUACAAGCUGUGUACACUGUUGCCUUCACUUAGUCACUGGGCCACACAAUGUAUUUAGUGGGGUAGAGGCGUGUCCAGCUGCAGCUGGGAAUUUCUAUUAGUAAUGAAUAGAGAAUGGAUGCUGCUGGCAACAGCCGCUACAUAAUUCACAGUCUCUCCAAUGAAUCCCCUCUGCUCAGAAUUAUUGGGAUGUGUGAUAACCAUUAACAAAAUCCCUCAUGAUGGGGGAUGACCCUGCUACCCCUUACAGGCGCGUGCACACGUGCAUGCAUGUGUAAAACAUGUUUUUUCAACUAAGAAAGAAGUGGGGAGUGUGUGUGUGUAAAAUACGUUUUUUUUCAACUACAAAAGAGGCGGGGAGUUUCCGACAUAUCUCAGUGGUAACAAACCUGACUAGUAUUUGUGAGGAUGCAGGUUCAAUCCCUGGCCUCGCUCAGUGGGUUAAGGAUCUGGCAUUGCUGUGGCUGGGGCAUAGACUGGCAGCUGUAGCUCCGUUCCAUCCCUAACCUGGGACUUGCAUAUGCCACAAGAAGUGGUAAAAACAGAUAAGGUUUCCUGAGCCCUCACUGCGAAGUGGCUCUGCAGCAAGGGCUUGGCAUAUAUUACUCAACUCUGAGAUAAGUGCAGUUAUCAUCCCUCUUUACCCCAGAGAAAAUCAAAGCUGAGGGCAAAUAAGUCACUCCCUAAAGUCCCCCAGGAGGCAAGGGCGGGGACAGAAAGGUCAAGCCUGAGAGCGGUGGGGGACAGAGAUCAGUUCUCAGGUACUUAGCAAUGAAAAACAACAGAUUUCAUUCUAACAAGGGGCUCUUUAUUCCUUUUUAAAUGUAGACAACAUUGACACUAAAAAACGCAAAGUUUUUUUUCGGUUUGUUUGUUUUUGUCUUCUAGGGCCCCUCCCAUGGCAUACGGAGGUUCCCAGGAUUGGGGUCAAAUCGGACCUGUUGCCGCUGGCCUACACCACAGCUCAAGGCAACGCUGGAUCCUUAACCCACUGAACAAGGCCAGGGAUUGAACCCAUAACCUCAUGGUUCCUAGUUGGGUUCAUUAACCACUGUGCCAUGACGGGAACUCCAGGCAAAGAUUUUAAGUGUACAUUUUGGUGAGUUUUGACAAACCUCAGCCAGUGUGUAUCUGUAUUACUAUGCUCCAAGAAAGACGAAGAGCAUCAUCUUUUUCACAAAGCCCCCUCAAGCCCCCCUCAGUUCACCACCCCACUGAGAGGCAACCUCUGUUCUGAUUUCUAUCACCAUAAACUUUGCCUGUUUUUUUUUUGUUUGUUUUUGGUUUUGUUUUGUUUUUUGCUUUUUAGGACCUCACUUGCAGCAUAUGGAGGUUCCCAGGCUAGGGGUGGAAUUGGAGCUACAGCUGCUGGCCUACGACACAGCAACGCUGGAUCCAAACCGCGUCUUGGACCUACACCACAGGUCAGGGCAACACCAGAUUCUUAACCCACUGAAGGAGGCCAAGGAUUGAACCCAAAACCUCAUGGUUCCUAGUCAGAUUUGUUUCUGCUGCUCCACGACAGAAACUCCAAACUUUGCCUGUUUUUGAGACAUUAAAAGGAAGGAAUUGGAGUUAUCAGUGGUAAUGAACCUGACUAGUAUCCAUGAGGAUGUGGGUUUAAUCCCUGGCUUUGCACAGUGGGUUAAGAAUCCAGCGUUGCCGAGAGCUGUGUUGUAGGUUGACAAUGUGGCUCAGAUCCUGUGCUGCUGUGGCAUCAGCCCGGCAGCUGCAGCUCCAAUUCGACUCCUAGCCUGGGAACUUGCAUAUGCCACAGGUGCUGCCCUAAAAAGUGAAAAAAUAGAAAAGGGAAGGAAUCAUAUAGUACUACUUUUGUACUCUUUAUCUUUUUUUCUUUUUAUCAUUGCACCUGUGGCAUACAGAAAUUCCUAGGCUAGGGGUUGAAUUAACCUGCUGAGCCACGAUGGGAACUCCAGGUUCUUUCCCUUAGUAUGGUUUUCAGAUUCACCCACCUAACUGCUGAAUAAUAUACCUCCACAGGAUCAUCAUGUGACAAUUCCAGAUUUGUUUAUCCAUUCCUCUGAGGCUUAUCCAAACAUCCUGGGUGUUUCCUGCUUGGGCUCUUAUGAAUAAAGCUGCCAUGAAUAUAUAUGAACUUCCAUAUUCACACCUAGGGCUGCACUGUUGAGACACAGGGAGGUUCAUAUUUAACUCUGCAAGAAAAUGCCUCACAGUUCUCAAAGUGGUUAGCUCAUUUUACAGUCCUACCACAGUUUAUGAGAAUUCCAAAACUGCCCCACAUCCUCACCAAGAUUUGAUACUGUUGGUCUUUUAGUUUUAAUCAUUCUGGUGGGUGUAAAGUAGUAUCAUUGUUGGUUUAAUUUGCAAUUCACCCAUCCUCAAAUUCACUGACUUUUCUGUUCUGCUCAAGUGACUAUUAGGAUUGUCCAAUUUUUUUAACCAAGGGUGUCAAUUUUAUUUCUUUAGGUUUUUUUUAUUUUGUUUUUUGGUGUGUUUGCCAUUUCUAGGACAGCUCCCGCAACAUACGGAGGUUCCCAGAAAUGGCAAAAAUUAAAAUAAAAAAUUAAUGCAUGGAUUAUAGAGUAAAAUUCAUUGUUUUAUCGUACAUGUCUGAGAGUUCUGACAAGCUUAGGUAGUUGUGUCCACCCAUCAGGACAGAAUGAAUGUUUCCACCGGUCCCUAAAAUUCCCUGUGUCUCUUUAUAGUCUGCUGCGCCCCGGCCCGCGGCGACGACUCCCCAAUCUGUCCCUGAGAGUUAAAUGGGGUCGCACAGCCUGAAGCCUUACGAGACCCCCUCCGUUUCUUGGGAGACUUAGGUGCCAGCAGGGCUGGGGUACGAAGAGAGUUAUCUAACCGGCCAGAGAAGCCGGACACAGACAAGAGUCCGCUGCAGAGUUAACAGGUAUCAGUUCAGUCGGCUUGCUUCACGUGGGAGAAACUUGUUCUCUAAAAUCGUAAGCUGUCAGUAAUUUAGCUGUUGUAAAGUUAAGAAUAAAAUAUCCAAAGCUUGCCUGUAGAAUCAUAGUCGCUUUGACCCGACGAAGCAGGCACGUCCACACUGCGCAACGCAGACCUGGUCUUUCCAGGGAAACCCUGUGGGUUCAUCUGUGAUUCCCGCCGCGACCAAAACCUGGGCCCGGCCUAAACCUCCGCGCGGACUCACCCGCUAACUACGCCUCCACCGGGCUGCCCACCCCGAGUUUGGACACGCUUUGGGACCCACCCCGAGCUGCCCGCCCCAGGCCUGGGCCCGCCUUGACCC
rnacentral:lncRNA from 1 species